rnacentral:pre_miRNA from 13 species
CAAUCUCCCUCAGAGGCUUCCAAUAUCUCAGUUUAUAGUAAUUGCUUCAAAUAAUGAGAAUGUUGGAUGCCUUUGGGUGAGAUUG